rnacentral:rRNA from 1 species
GAUGAACGCUAGCGGCAGGCUUAAUACAUGCAAGUCGUGGGGCAGCGCAGUGUAGCAAUACAUGGGCGGCGACCGGCAAACGGGUGCGUAACACGUACGCAACCUUCCCGUUACUGGGGAAUAGCCCAGGGAAACUUGGAUUAAUACCCCAUAUUAUAUUGAUUGGGCAUCUAAUUAAUAUCAAAGCUUCGGCGGUAACGGAUGGGCGUGCGGUUGAUUAGGUAGUUGGCGGGGUAACGGCCCACCAAGCCUACGAUCAAUAGCUGAUGUGAGAGCAUGCUCAGCCACACGGGCACUGAGACACGGGCCCGACUCCUACGGGAGGCAGCAGUAAGGAAUAUUGGGCAAUGGACGAAAGUCUGACCCAGCCAUGCCGCGUGGAGGAUGAAGGUCCUCUGGAUUGUAAACUUCUUUUUUCUGGGGCGAAAACCGGUUCUUCUAAACCAUUUGACAGUACCAGAAGAAUAAGCACCGACUAACUCCGUGCCAGCCGCCGCGGUAAAAC